GGAUUAGGCAUGCAAGUCGAACGAGGAAGUGCCCCGUAAGGGGCGCAAGCCUAGUGGCGAAAGGGUGAGUAAUGCAUUGAUAACCUGCCUUUGAGAUGGGAAUAACUGCGUUUCGAGCAAUCGGAACUACCGAAAGGGCUGCUAAUACCCAAUAAUACUAUAGGUGCAAAAGCACUUGUGGUCAAAUGCUAGGAAUUCUGUUCCUUGUGCUUAAAGAGGGGUUAAUGUCCUAUCAGCUAGUUGGUGGGGUAAUGGCCUACCAAGGCAAAGACGGGUAGCCGGCUUGAGAGGGUGGUCGGCCACACUGGGACUGAGACACUGCCCAGACUCCUACGGGAGGCUGCAGUCGAGAAUCUUUCGCAAUGCCCGAAAGGGUGACGAAGCGACGCCGCGUGUGGGAAGAAGGCCUUCGGGUUGUAAACCACUGUCGGGAGUUAGGAAAUGCAGGUGCGUUAAUAGCGCACUUGCUUGACUAAGGCUCCAGAGGAAGCCACGGCUAACUCUGUGCCAGCAGCCGCGGUAAUACAGAGGCGGCAAGCGUUGUUCGGAAUUAUUGGGCGUAAAGAGCACGUAGGCGGCCUUGCAAGUCAGUUGUGAAAGCCUUCCGCUUAACGGAAGAACGGCAUCUGAUACUACAGGGCUUGAGUACGGGAGGGGAGAGUGGAACUUCUGGUGGAGCGGUGAAAUGCGUAGAUAUCAGAAGGAACGCCGGCGGCGAAAGCGACUCUCUGGUCCGAAACUGACGCUGAGUGUGCGAAAGCUAGGGGAGCAAACGGGAUUAGAUACCCCGGUAGAUCCUAGCCGUAAACGAUGGGCACUAAGUAGAGGGGUUUU
rnacentral:rRNA from 1 species